rnacentral:lncRNA from 1 species
GGAGAGUGGGCAUGAGGCUGCUCUUUAUUUUACAGAACCUUCCCAUUCCCUGUCUCAUUCGGCAGGGGUAAUAAUGAUAGCUAACAUUUGAGUAUUUUUUUGAGAAAGCACCAUACAGAGCACUUUUCAUGGGUCAGCAAUCUCAUUCACUCCUCACAACCCUUUAAAUAGAUGCUGUUAUUAACCUCAUUUUUGUAACAGAAAAUGAGGCUUAAUGGGCAUGGGUGGAUACUGAAGCUAGACUUCUUCAAAACCUCUUCUUUGAGGUUUGCAAACACUAAGGAGAGUUGAUCAUGGCAAUAGCAUCCGACCAGACAUCUCCUCGGAGUCUCGCCCCCACGUGGAGCUCGAAUGAAGCUCGCGGGCUGUUUCAGCUGAAACCUCUUCCUGCGGGCGCGCCAGAAAGACAGGCGCCAUCUCAGAGCUUCCUGCAGGACUCAGCAUCUGCACUACCCUGGGAUUCAGACACCAUUAUGAGGAUGCAGUGCUGAGUAAGACUGGCAAAGUUCCUGACAUCUGGUGCAGAGGAGGGUUUUUGCAGUGCCAGGUGUGGAUUGAGAUUCAGCCUUGUAAGACUUACUCACUGAAAACUGGAAUUUGCUUAGUUCCAAGCCCAUUUUGAGCACCAUUCAUUGAGAGGCGCCUUUCUUCUGAAGUCUUUUAUCCCAGAACGCUGAAAGCGUUCCCGUGUCCUCCCUGCAAAGAGGAUUCUCCCACACUCCAGCCCAGACCCGGACAGAUUGGCCCCCAUCAGUUCCAGGCCUGCUGAGCGCAGUGGCUUCCUCCUCGGCUUCAGAAGAAGUUUUUGUCGUUUCUUUUUCUUACAUUCUUCAAACCAGGAAUUUAAAAAUUGGAAAAGGUAAUUUCAAAAAGUAGAAACAAAUAAA